AUCACUGCCCCCACGUGUUCUCCGCUAUCUAGCGGCGCGGCGCUCUCUCGGUACUGACCCUCCGAGCUCGGACUCUACCUGCACUGCAGCCCUUCAUCCCGGUACCAGUGUCAGAUGCGAGAUCCCGUGGCUAAGUAAGAAAUCCAAUUUCACUGAGGACAAGCAGAAGGCCGGGCGCUUGCUUUUCCAGAGCAGAAAGGAAACUGAUGCAUCAGAAAAGGUUACCUGUUCAGAACAUUGCUUACAGAAAUAUUUAAAAAUGACACAGAGAAUAUCCAUGAGAUUUCAGGAAUAUCACAUUCAGCAGAAUGAAGCCCUGGCAGCCAAAGCAGGCCUCUUAGGCCAACCACGGUAGAGGCCGGAGGCACGGACUUGCACUGAGAGAUUGCCAGCAGCUGUCACAGUCAGAACAAGGAUUCGUCUGGUGGAGAAUCCCCUGACACAGCAAGCGCCGUGGUACAUCAUCUGUCAUGACUACCUGGCCAACGGAAACCACCGGAGAAAAAAUCACUGUUCACCAGAAAGAGUCAAAACAGAAGGCCUUUCUGUGCAGUAGAAAUGGUAAGAUGCAGUGUUGUUGAGGCCUUAAGAUUCGUCUGCGUGGUCACCAUGAUUGCAAAAAUAAACCACUGUUCUUUUCUUUGUGACUGUUAAUUUUAAAAGCAAAAUAUGUGUCCAAUCAUGUAUGAGAUAGAAAAAAUUUAUUACUAAAAGUAAAAUAAGUGAAAAUAUCAUU
rnacentral:lncRNA from 1 species